rnacentral:rRNA from 1 species
AAAUUGAAGAGUUUGAUCAUGGCUCAGAUUGAACGCUGGCGGCAGGCCUAACACAUGCAAGUCGAACGGUAACAGGAAGCAGCUUGCUGCUUCGCUGACGAGUGGCGGACGGGUGAGUAAUGUCUGGGAAACUGCCUGAUGGAGGGGGAUAACUACUGGAAACGGUGGCUAAUACCGCAUAACGUCGCAAGACCAAAGAGGGGGACCUUCGGGCCUCUUGCCAUCAGAUGUGCCCAGAUGGGAUUAGCUUGUUGGUGAGGUAACGGCUCACCAAGGCGACGAUCCCUAGCUGGUCUGAGAGGAUGACCAGCCACACUGGAACUGAGACACGGUCCAGACUCCUACGGGAGGCAGCAGUGGGGAAUAUUGCACAAUGGGCGCAAGCCUGAUGCAGCCAUGCCGCGUGUAUGAAGAAGGCCUUCGGGUUGUAAAGUACUUUCAGCGGGGAGGAAGGUGUUGCGGUUAAUAACCGCAGCAAUUG